CACACACACACACACAGAGUGAGGAAGGAAGGAAAACACGAGUGCACCUACCAACAAGGCUUCAGGGAACAACUCUAGCUGUGCCCGAUACAGAACAUCAUCCAAUGCUUUAGAUCCCAGUUCAAUCUCCCCAUUACACCUAUACA